AUCUCUAUGGCUUAAUUAGCUAAAAGACCUGACUCAUGAACAGGAAAUCCUGGGUUCAAUUCCCAGUGGGAACU
rnacentral:tRNA from 1 species